UUUCCGUAGAUGAACCUGCGGAAGGAUCAUUAAUGUGUUUGGGCCUCACGGCUCUUCAUUCCGACGCUGUGCGCCUUCGGGCUGCACGCUGAGGGAGCAUAUAUCCACCCCUGUGCACACACACGGUGGCGAGCUGGGUAACGGCUCGCCGCUGAUCUUUACACACGUCUAAAAGUCAUUGUAUGUUUAUUUGAGAUAAAAACACAACUUUCAGCAACGGAUCUCUUGGCUCUCGCUCGAUGAAGAACGCAGC
rnacentral:misc_RNA from 1 species